rnacentral:lncRNA from 1 species
GCCGUUUGGAUUGAUCACUUGCUCGCGGAGAAAUCCUGCUAUCGUCUCUUGGAUAGCUUUGAUUUGGUCUUUUUGUAUGACCUUUUCCCUCAACCAUCCCGUUUUUAAUUUGAAAUAAAUAAAAAAGGUAUUAGUUAUCUAAGUUAUUCAAUAUAAUUCAGGAGAUAAUGAAAAGAGACAUGUAACGUACUCUGAGCGUCUCUGUGGGUGUUUGAUUGACUUAUUCCAUCAUGAAUUUGCACACGUAAUAUGCACAUAGAUUGUUUCUCCCUUCUUGUCUUAAACACCACUGUACGAUAUAUAUAUAAAAAAUAUUCACGACCACGACAAUAAGAAGGCUAAAAGUUAGCGAAAAUUUGCUAGCUAGUAGAACUUACUUGUGGAUGUAUUAUGUUAAGCGGCGCUUUACAUCCACUGAGAUGUUCACGGUCAAUGAAUCUUUCCCAAACCCUACACACAGCCAUUGUGGAUCGUGAACUAAUAAUUACAGAGUCAUAUUAUGAUAUUCUUCUAGCGGAGAUCGACAUUACGUACCUUUGAAUAAUGUUUACCAUUUGUUGAUAAUUUUCUUGUGGUUUUCUCAUUGAGUCAAAGAUUAUCAACCGGUUCUUGGAAAUUUCAAUGACCAUGAGUAUCCAGUGAAAGCUGUUUACACACACAUAGAUAUAGUCAGGCCUAUAUAUAACUAUAUAAAACUUGUCUAGAGUAAUAAUUAUUAAAAUAAAAUAUGCAUGCACUUAAUAACUAUAUAACUCACUCGAAGUUGAAGGGGAAGAGUAUUUUUUGUUUUUCUUUUUGGUUCACAAAGAACCUCAUAAGAUUGGUGCAGACUUCUGUCUCAUGAGCUACUGUCCACACUGCCUACGGAGCUUUGAAAAUAAUAUAAGGGUCAACGAACCCAAUACUAUUGUCAUUUCUGAUUCAGAGCUCUCUCAUUUGGUGCCUGCAUAUAUACAUACAAAUCCUAAGUGUGUAAGGAUUAUAUACAUGUAAUUAAAGAAGUUAGA